CCUACGGGAGGCAGCAGUGGGGGAUAUUGCACAAUGGGGGAAACCCUGAUGCAGCGACGCCGCGUGUGGGAAGACGGUCCUCUGGAUUGUAAACCACUGUCCCCAGGGACGAAGAUGACGUUACCUGGGGAGGAAGCUCCGGCUAACUACGUGCCAGCAGCCGCGGUAAUACGUAGGGAGCGAGCGUUGUCCGGAAUUACUGGGUGAAAAGGGAGCGUAGGCGGGACUGCAAGUUGGGUGUCAAAUCUACCGGCGCAACCGGUAGCCGCACUCAAAACUGCAGUUCUUGAGUGAAGUAGAGGCAGGCGGAAUUCCUAGUGUAGCGGUGAAAUGCGUAGAUAUUAGGAGGAACACCAGUGGCGAAGGCGGCCUGCUGGGCUUUUACUGACGCUGAGGCUCGAAAGUGUGGGGAGCAAACAGGAUUAGAUACCCGUGUAGUC
rnacentral:rRNA from 1 species